rnacentral:lncRNA from 1 species
GUGGAAACUUGGCCACGAUGGUCGGAAACAAAUGAGAGUUAUAAAUGGAACAUCCCCCCUUGGUCUGGAAAGCACAUACUAAUCAUGUAAUAGAGGGAUCUUUCUUGGCUUCCCAGGUUUUAUUGUAUUUUUUAUUAUUUAAACAGACUUACAGGACUGUACAUGCUUGUAGAGGAGUCAAGAAUUUAUAAUUAUCAGAUAUUCUUUAAUAUAGAGAAAUAAUUGAGACUAUAGAUUUGAGUGCGGGAUAUUUAUAACCACCCAAACCCAAAAGAGCAAGAAAAUGAAGUGACAAAACGUACUGCAUUUCACUAAUGGAAGAAACAUACAUAGCCCAAUAUACUUGUCUUAACUUUUAUGUAAAAAGUGAGUCUCACCCUUCUGCAUAUUCCCAAGUACCUAAGUAAAACACCAGUGAACAAAUUAUUUAAUCUACUUAAGACUAAACAAUUGCACAGUCUCUGUUUUUCCCCACUCAGAUGAUUUGAGUCUUCAUAACUGGGUAAAACAGAGUAAAAACAAAUGAGUUCUAAUACCACAAAUAACAGAACCAUAUUAAUUGGUAGCAAAGAUAGUAGAACAGGCAAUAUUUAGCUUUGCCCUAAAGAAAUACAAUUUGCCUUUUUUUCUCUUAAACUUAAUAUACAUUUAGCUAAUGUGCCUUUCUUCAUGAUGUUUUCCAUAUGUUGAUUAUUCUCUUUUAGAAAAACCAA